UUGCAGGUGAAAAAUGAUGCAAGCACUAAUGGUUUUCGUUUUUGUUACUGAUUAUGGUUCAGCAGCAAUGGGACAGAACCCAACCGAGGCUGAGCUCUAAGAUAUGAUCAAUGAAGUGGACUGUUAAUGGAUUUUUAACUUUCAAGCAUUCUAUUUGAUUAAUUGUAAUCUAUAUAUGUUGGUCAUUGUAGAUAAUCAUUUUUGCUAGAUUUUGGAUCUAGGUUUUGCUGGUUGUUGUUGGUUUGUGUUGAAUUACUACUAGUUAUAAGUUAUGCCUUAA